rnacentral:lncRNA from 1 species
ACCCGGGGGGGUCUGGGAGGGAGCCGUCGUCGGGGGGGGGGGGGGGGUGGGGAAGUAGAGGUUGGGGGCUGGAGGAGGCGGGGUGGAGAAGGCGGGGUGGAGAAAAGUGCCGGGCUCUGUCUCCAGUACUAAUUCGGCGCCGAACGCCUUCCGGAAAGAUUGCGAGGCGAACGACGCGUCUCCUCCAAGCCAGAUCGCCUGGGCGCUCGUUGCACUGGCUCUCUCCCAGCGACAAACCCAUCAAGAGGAUCCUGACAUCCCGUCGUGGGCUACUACUGGUGCCUGGCUGACUAGCCCCCAUGACGAUGGUCCAGGGUCCCUCCAAAGCUAGGGUCGAUCUACUCUCUAAUUCCGGCACGGACAGCCUGGUAUGGAGGCAGCUGGCUGAUCUCAAGCCUUUUGCAUUUCCAGACAUGGAAGAACAAGAUAUGGAAGCUACCUCUGGAUUCUGACCCUUUCGUGGUCUUCUCCCUCCCGACUCCUCGGUUGGCAGCUUUCUGCGGGCUUCACAAUUCCCUGGACCUCUGCAACAUUGUGAAAACGAAGGAAACUUCUGGUAACUGGAGUACAGAUGAUGAUACCUGGAGAACUGACCAAGAGCGGAGAAAUAAAGGAGAGCUGUAUCCCCUUCAUUCCUCAGGCCUCAGUUUGGCCUCCUGAGCCAAGAAAAAUGGAGAGACAGAGCCGGUGCCUGAAAUGCUGGAUUUAUUGUCACUGUAUUGCAUGGUUCCUAUGCCUUGGAAAUUUACAACUGCCGUUCAGUCCAAGAACUAUUGAUACUACAGCUAAUAACAUGUAGGUAUUGAUCUUCAGUUUUUUUGGCCUGCAGCCAAAUAUGUGCUUGUUAAUACUAAUCAAUAUCUGAACUUCUCAGUUUCCUUCUCCUCUGAAUUUUCCCCUCUUUUCCUGCUUACUACCUUCACUAGCUUUUCUUUGGAAAAAAUAAUAUAGCCUGAAGAAAGAAGAGUCUAUUUCUGGCCAUGUCACUUUUUACGUUAUCGUUGUUGUUAUGUGUUAUCAAGUCACUUCCAAUUUAUGUCAGCUUUCUUUAGGGAGUCAGUCCAUCUUAUAUUUGGUCUUCCUCUUUUCCGGCUGCUUUCCACUUUUCCCAACAUUAAUGUCUUGUUCAGAGAAUCCUGCCUUCUCAUUCUGAAAGUAGGACAGCCCCAGUUUCAACAUUUUUGCCUCUAGAGAUAACU